rnacentral:rRNA from 1 species
AUGUCGUGGGAGAACAUAACUAAGGCCAAGAGGAAUGGUGGCAUGGGUUUUAGAGACAUGCACCCGUUUAACCAGUCACUCCUUGCUAGACAAGGCUAGAGAUAAUUACAAAAACCAGAUAGCCUUUGUGCUAGAGUUUUAAAAUCGAAAUACUACCCGCAUGGAAAUCUUUUGGACACGGUCUUCUCUACAGAUGCAUCCCAAUCUUGGAAGGGAAUUGAAUGGGGUUUAGAACUACUCAAAGAAGACCUGAUCUGGAGAGUGGGUAACGGCUAG